AUUGAACGCUGGCGGCAGGCCUAACACAUGCAAGUCGAGCGGAUGAGAGGAGCUUGCUUCUCGAUUCAGCGGCGGACGGGUGAGUAAUGCCUAGGAAUCUGCCUGGUCGUGGGGGACAACGUUUCGAAAGGAACGCUAAUACCGCAUACGUCAUACGGGAGAAAGCAGGGGACCUGCGGGCCUUGCGCUAUCAGAUGAGCCUAGGUCGGAUUAGCUAGUUGGUGAGGUAAUGGCUCACCAAGGCGACGAUCCGUAACUGGUCUGAGAGGAUGAUCAGUCACACUGGAACUGAGACACGGUCCAGACUCCUACGGGAGGCAGCAGUGGGGAAUAUUGGACAAUGGGCGAAAGCCUGAUCCAGCCAUGCCGCGUGUGUGAAGAAGGUCUUCGGAUUGUAAAGCACUUUAAGUUGGGAGGAAGGGUUGUAGAUUAAUACUCUGCAAUUUUGACGUUACCGACAGAAUAAGCACCGGCUAACUCUGUGCCAGCCGCCGCAGUAAGAC
rnacentral:rRNA from 1 species